rnacentral:rRNA from 1 species
AACAGGGAUUGCCCUAGUAACGGCGAGUGAAGCGGCAAUAGCUCAAAUUUGAAAUCUGGUCUCCUUUGGGGGCCCGAGUUGUAAUUUGCAGAGGGCGCUUUGGCGUUAGCAGCGGUCUAAGUUCCUUGGAACAGGACGUCACAGAGGGUGAGAAUCCCGUACGUGGUCGCCUGCUUUCGCCGUGUAAAGCCCCUUCGACGAGUCGAGUUGUUUGGGAAUGCAGCUCUAAAUGGGAGGUAAAUUUCUUCUAAAGCUAAAUACUGGCCAGAGACCGAUAGCGCACAAGUAGAGUGAUCGAAAGAUGAAAAGCACUUUGGAAAGAGAGUCAAACAGCACGUGAAAUUGUUGAAAGGGAAGCGCUUGCAGCCAGACGUGCCCGUGGUGGUUCUCCUCCGCGGGCAGGCCAGCAUCAGUUCGAGCGGUCGGAUAAAGGCCUCUGUCACGUAUCUACCUUCGGGUAGACCUUAUAGGGGAGGCGUAAUGCGAUCAGCUCGGACUGAGGUCCGCGCAUCUGCUAGGAUGCUGGCGUAAUGGCUGUAAGCGGCCCGUCUUGAAACACGGACCAAGGAGUCUAACAUCUAUGCGAGUGUUUGGGUGUCAAGCCCGGGCGCGCAAUGAAAGUGAACGGAGGUGGGAACCCUUUCUUGGGGUGCACCAUCGACCGAUCCUGAAGUCUUCGGAUGGAUUUGAGUAAGAGCAUAGCUGUUGGGACCCGAAAGAUGGUGAACUAUGCUUGAAUAGGGUGAAGCCAGAGGAAACUCUGGUGGAGGCUCGCAGCGGUUCUGACGUGCAAAUCGAUCGUCAAAUUUGGGCAUAGGGGCGAAAGACUAAUCGAACU